CCGUCAAAGCGGGCUGUCGUA
rnacentral:miRNA from 1 species